AGAGGGGUGUGUCCUUGCUGGGACCUAGACUAAGCCAUCACAUUCUGCCCUGUGGCUGGACCCAGGUACUCUGAGUCCAACCCAGCUGCCCUGCUCUGGUUGUAGGAGAGUGCUGAGGUGAAGCCCGAGGUUCAGGACAGGGUUUACACCCUGGCCUCUGGGGACAUCGCUGGAAGUGACACUGCUAGAGGAGGACUCCAAGGAACAAAAGAAUUUGGGGGAUCCCGGGACCCAGAAAGAUGACUGACAUUACCACAGCUACAAGGAAAUGGGAGUGUUCAAAGGAGUGACAGGAUACAACCAAGAUAAGAAGCAGGUCCGCAUCCUGCCUCUAACAAGUCAGCCCAGUGAGAUGCCUUAAGCCUGGAAGAAAAUUACUUUAUCUUGGAAGCUGGCUGACCUUCAAAACCCAAGGUUUAAGAAAGGUUUCAAAUAGAAAUUAUUACAAUUCAACAAUCAGUUCUCCUACUACAUGAAAAACCAUCACAAAAUAGUACAAAACCAUCACAAAAUAAUGCCAUCCACUGGAGCAGAUAGCAAAACAAUUGAAGAAGUUCUACCAAUUAGAAUAUCCAAAAAAAAAAAAAUCUUUCAGAGCUCUCUCUACAAGUGUGAAAUAUCUUAACUGAACUGAGAGGUCAAGAGGUAAUUUCCAGAAGUUCUACACUGAAGUCCUUCCUGAAAUUACCUUUGCCCAGAAGCAGUCUGGAAAUC